GCUAAUACCGGAUACGACCUCCUUAGGCAUCUUCGGAGGUGGAAAGCGUAUACGGUCAAGGAUGGGCUCGCGGCCUAUCAGCUAGUUGGUGAGGUAACGGCCCACCAAGGCGACGACGGGUAGCCGGCCUUGAGAGGGCGACCGGCCACACUGGGACUGAGAUACGGCCCAGACUCCUACGGGAGGCAGCAGUGGGGAAUAUUGCACAAUGGGCGCAAGCCUGAUGCAGCAACGCCGCGUGCGGGAUGACGGCCUUCGGGUUGUAAACCGCUUUCAGCAGGGACGAAGCGCAAGUGACGGUACCUGAAGAAGAAGCAUCGGCCAACUACGUGCCAGCAGCCGAGGUGAUACGUAGGAUGCGAGCGUUGUCCGGAAUUAUUGGGCGUAAAGAGCUUGUAGGCGGUCAGUCGCGUCGGAAGUGAAAACUCAGGACUCAACCCUGAGCCUGCCAUCGAUACGGGCAGACUAGAGGAAGGUAGGGGAGAAUGGAAUUCCUGGUGGAGCGGUGGAAUGCGCAGAUAU
rnacentral:rRNA from 1 species